AGAAAUGAAUUGAGUAAAUCAAUGGCUUAUCGUUUUGAAUUUCUGGUUGUCGCUAAUUAAACAUGGAAUGAAAGAAACGGUUUUGAAUUUGCUUUGAUGUCAGAAAUGAAUCGAGUAAAUCAUUAGCUUGCUUAUAAGGCCAUCCAAAUGAAAUGGUUAAUUCAUUGGAUGGCCUUACAAGUUAACCACAGGGCAUAAUUUGCCUGUGGGAAAUGUUGCACAUUUUAUUUCAGUUUCUGAGUAUUCAUUGCAAUUUGUUGAAAAAGUUAAAAAUGAAACCCUGGAAGCUGGAACUCAACUACAAUGCUUUAAUAUAUUAUGCAACCUUAUAAAACAGGCUAGUGUCUCUGAACUAUGAAUUUAGCCAUCCUUUUUCCUUUUACUUAGCUUUGGAAAGAGGUUUAGUAAUCUAGUGAUUAUAAGAAGCUGGUAUUUGGAUCCAAAUUUUAUAUAAGAACUCCCAAAAUUAAGUGUAUUUACCUGAGAGCAGUUUUUGUGGAUGUCCAAAAGGAAAUAUUUUGAGGUUUGGGCAAGGAGGGGAUGAGAAUGAGAAUUAGCAUCAGGAUUCAUUUGGUGGGGAAAGUGAAAGAGAAUUAUUUUAAUAU
rnacentral:misc_RNA from 1 species